rnacentral:lncRNA from 1 species
GCUGUCAGCACGUCGUGUGGUCAGGUGUCAGGACAAGCGGGCGUGAGCGCGUGGAGGUGCAUCUGCCUCUGCCCUGGAGAACGGAUGUGCUACAGCUGUGCGCGGCGUGAUCAAGCACCUGUUGGGUGGACGGCACACCUCCCAGUGGCCAGCUGGAGACGGAGGGCUGGAAGUACUUGCCCGGCUCCUCUCUCUGUAGGUUUGGUCUUCGGCCUUGCAGCUGCCCUGGUGCUUGCAGAUUGCGGUUUGAUGGACCAGGCACUUUUCAUCUCUUACACAGCCAGUGGUUCAGCACUGAGUCAUGCUUGCUUCUGCUACGCACUGAUUUGUUCUAUUCCAGUUUUCACGUACAUCGUUUUGGUGACAUCUCUGCGUUAUCAUUUAUUUAUAUGGAGUGUAUUUUCUCCAAAACUUCUCUACGAGGGAAUGCACCUGCUCAUUACAGCUGCUGUCUGUGUAUUCUUCACGGCAAUGGAUCAAACCAGACUCACACAGUCUUAGACUAAGCUGAACACUGGAAAAAUAAUACAUGCUUAAAGUCUGCUGUUAUUCUAAAAUGAAAGAUAUGAAUUCAACAAAGUUGAUGGAUAACUUUCUUUGACUGCUCUACCUGAAUUUAGACUAAGCAGUAAAUAGUUUAAUAAAAGAUCACUUUAAUAUA